AAAACAGUAACGAUAUAAGAUUUAUUUCCAGGAGAAAGAUGAGAUGGUGAAUAAUUACAAUACAAUACUCUCAAGUCUUAAGGCCAAACAAAAUCAACACAAAUUUUGGGAAGUUCUUCAAAAUCCUUAGCUAAAUUGAAGUCGGUGUUGAAAUUAUUUGAGGAAUUGUUGAAUACCCUUUUGUUGGAAACUCCUUUGUCAGCCACAACAGCACAAGAAUUAGAAACUGAAGAAGAAGGUGAAGUUAAAUAAUCAGUAUUUUCAUGUCUAAGUAGCUCAGCUAACAAAAGAACAAGAGAAGACAUUUGAUAAUAAAAAAAAAAUUCUAAUGAAAGAUGUUUUCAAGAUUUUUCCUUUGUUUGAUACAAUGAAUUCAAAGCACACAAAUUCCUAAUUUAUAAGCAACCAAAAGUAGGUGAAUAGUAGUAUUAAAAGCUGGCUUGACUUAAAUACUGUGUGAUAUUUAUUUAAUAUAAGAAAACAAGGGGCAAACAAAAGCAGUUGGUUCAGGAAAUAUGUGGUGAAUCCUGGAGAUUUCGAUUUAGUUCAUGUUUAUACUCCGUUCAUAUUUAUAUGUCAUCCUUAUUAAACAUAGACACUUCUCAAUAUUUGUCAUUUCACAAAAAUAAGGUAUAAAUGACACUAUUUUAUAUAUAUAUAUAUAUAUAUAUAUAUAUAGAUAUAUAGAGGAUAGUGCUAAAUGGCCAGAAAAUUUGGCCAGCCAGAAAUUUAAAAAAUCUAUAAUAUCUUUUUUAUUUAAAAUAAACUAAUCUUUUUUCAUUUUUAAAUUAAAAGAUAUUAAAGUUAAAAAGGUAAAAUACCAUUCUAGCCAAAAAAAUUGGCCAAAAGGAUUUUUCUAUAUAUAUAUAUAUUUGACUAACAUAGAAUAACUAAGUAAAUAGUUCAUGUGUAUUGGUCAGAAUAAUUAAUCAAAAUAAACUAAAUCAUAUUCAUUGAUUGAAAACUUGACUUUACGAGAACACUUAAUAAGGAUACAAUGAUAAAAUUACUUAAUUUCUUAGAAACGUGAAAUCUAAAAUAGUGACAACUAAAAAAAACCAACGUCAUAUGAAUAUCUUACUUAAUUAAUAAAUUUGAGAAAAUCUUAAUAGUUUAGUUGAUUGACUAUUUGAACACUCACCACCUUAUUGAUCCAUACUAUAAUCCCCUCCUCUAUUUUCCCAUUCCCUCCCCCAAUUUAAAUAAUAAUAAUAAUAAAUUUAUUUUAACUUUAUAAUUUUUUUUUAUGUAUAAUAACAUAAAUAUAAAAUUAGAAUAAAUAUAUUGGGUUAGACAGCACAAGUUACCGACGCGGCCCCUAGCUAUUUGUUCCUGUUGUUUUGUAGUGUAUUCUUGUUUUUGUCAAUAGUUUCGUCUUUUUGUGACUCUGCCUUUCAUUUAUAGAGGGCUCAGCCACCGCUACCUGUUUUCUCAAAAGUACUACGCUAAAAACCACGGCCUUUUGCGGUGCGAUUCUUUGUUAUUUUUAUUAAUAUAUUUCAUUAUAAAUACAUAAAUACACACGUAAUUUCAAUCUUAGAUGGUUAAGUGUCUAAAUAUAUACUGUUAAAAUUAGCGUGUUUAUUUAUUACAUAGCUGAGAUCAAGUUUAAGGGUGUCUUUUUUUUUUCCAAUUCCAUUUUCUUCGGUCAAUUCGCGGGGUUAGAUAUCGUUUUUGACUCAAUUAAGCUUAAUUGGGGUUCAAAAAAAGUAAGCUUUACUUUGGGUUUAUUUGUGGAAUAUAUUUUAGUAAAUUCUAGCCGUAUAAAAGUUUUUACGUCAUAUAUAUAAAUAUAAAAAUAAUAAUAUAUCUUUUUAGUUAAUACCCUUUGCAGAUAGUCGUUAGAUUCGAGCUCUGAGUAUAAUUUUUUUUUUUUUUAGGAAGUGUUACUCCCAAAUGGAUAGCAUGAAUAAUAAAAUAAAUAACCCUAGUUGUCAACUCUUUUGUCUUGAAUCUUUGAACUCCCAAAUCUUUGAAGUAUUCUCUAUUGAAUAAAUAACUCACUCAACAGUUCACGUAGGAACCUCAAAAAGUGAGAUAGUUUAAAUGUGUUUUUAAUCCUUAACUUUAAUGUAAUUGAAAUCUCAAAGGACAAAGAAAACUUAAUUAUUAUGAUGAAAUAUUACUCUAUUAUAGAAAACGGUUAUUCUAGAAAGAAUGAAAACUUUUCUCAAUUCAAGAAAAUAUAAAAGUUUGUAAAGAUUAGUAUGAUUGCAAAUAAACUACAACUUUGUUAAUAAAAUAUCUGAAGUUUAAAUUGAAUAACAACCAGAGAGAAAGUUGAGAUGAAGCAAUUCCUCUCGUGUAUCUUACGUAAGUUUCAAGUGGCUGUGGACUUCCCCAUUGACCUAGUGAGUAUUUUCACCAGAUAGACACUUUUGUGUCCUCACAAAUUAAACCAACCAUAUGAAGGGACCAAACUUGGCUGGGCCUAACAAUCCUAACCACUAUUUUAAGGUUUGAUACAUUUCUCGUUAUGAAAGUGACUCAUAUAUAUUCAUAAUGUUAUACAAAUGGAUCACAUACAUCCUUUUCUUUUUACGGAAGUGAAAAAAAUAAUGUUAAUUUAAUUUUUUAAUUAUUUUUUUGGAAAAAAAUAUAAUUCAUAUGGGGUAUAUUUGAUCCUCCUCAUGCGUAUUUUUUUUUUUUUUUGUUUUAAUAACUAAUUUAAAUUUAUUAUUUUGAUGGUCAAAGUUGUAUGUUUCACUAAUUUUCUUGUAAAAAUUUUCACAGAUGCCCCAUUUUUUUUAGGGAAAAUUAUAUAAAAUAGCAAACUAUUAAUUCAAAUUAAAUGUUAUAACCACAGUCCACAGUUUCAUUUAAUUCGAAUUCAUACCAAACACUUUGUCAUUCGCCUCUCUCCCCAGAAAUCUCGCUCACCACUCUCCCUGAUCUCGCUCGCAUCUCUCACUUUAUACAAACACAAAUGUAUAAAUUGUGUUUGAAUAAAGCGAGAGAAAACUGUAUAUACAAAUACAAAUACAUAUACAUAUAUUUUUGUCGUAUACACUUAUAAUUAUACAAUAUAAAUCUUCCCCUGCCCAGUUUUCUUUUGACUUUCUCUCUUUCUCGUUUUAUACAAACAAAAAUUAUACAAAAUACAAUGUAUAAUUUGUGUUUGUAUAAAGCGAGAGAGCAACCCGAUUCAAUUGUAUACGAAUUCAAAUUUUAUGCAAAUAUACAAACGCAAUUUUCAUAGACACAGAAACCCGAUUUAUACAAAUUUCUGCGAUUUAUACAAAUCAGAUGCCUGCGAUUUUAUACAAAUCAAAGUUGCCUGCGAUUUUUAUACAGAUCUGAUGCUCUAUAGCAAACUAUGUUUGCUAUGGAGCACAAAUAGCAAAAUUGUAGCUAUAGAGCGCUAAUAUGAUUUUUAUAUUUGCUAAACCUAAAAUUUACUCUUUUUUAAUUUUAUUUUUACAAAUACAAAAAAGAAAUUACAAUAUAGCCACAAAAAAAAUUAAUUUUAAAUUUUUUCUUUACACUAAAGAAUGAAAGAAACUCAAAUAAUUAUAAUUAAAGAAGUCAAUAAAUAAUUUUUGUAUGAAAAUGAUUAAAAUACACCUUAAACUUUGCUAGAGGAUCAUAUAUAUGACCCUAUAUGAUUUUUUCUAAAAUUAAAGUCAAAAAAAUAAAUUUAAAACUAAUUUUUUCACUUUCAUUAGAUGAAGGGUAUAUGUGAACUCCUAUUGUAACGGUAAGAGUAUAUGUGAGUCAUUUGUAUAACGAUAAGGGUAUAUAUGAGUCACUUUCAUAAUGAGAAGUAUAUCAGAUCUAAAUGACAAAGUUAAGAAGUAUAUCAGACCAUUUUCCCUAUUUUAUUUACUAUACUAUGAGAGGGAGUUUCAAAGUGCUCAUCAACAGGCCAACAUGACAUGCCUGCUUGAGCACUUUGAGGGUGUUCCUAUAAUUUUUUGGUAAUUCAUUCGUUUUAACUAGUUUGUUUUAUUUUUUAGAUUAUAUAUAUUUAAAAAUUGUGUAAAACAUAAUACUUAUAAAUCAUAAUAAUUGACAAUUUAAAUUUUUUGAAAAAAAUAUUUUUUAAAAAUCGACUGAUUUUUGAAAUUAAUAUAUUGUUGAAUUGUGUAAAGAAAUAUGGUAAUUGACAACUUAAAAUAUUUUUAAAAAGAUAUGUAAAAAAUUCAACCGAUUCUUCAAUUAAUCUAUCGGUGAUACAUAAAAUAGGACAAAAAGAAGUAACAUGUACAGUAUUAUUUAAUUUGAAAACUAUGUAAAAAGUAUUAUAAAUCUCAAUAAUUAACAACAAUUGAUUGGGUCUUUAAAUUCUAUCUAUGCUACACACAUUGGGACAAAGGCAAUAACAUAUACUCCUUUCGUCCCAUUUUAUGUGAGGUAGUUUGACUCAGCACGGAGUUUAAGAAAGAAAGAAAGACUUUUAAAAUUUGUGGUCCAAAAUGAAUGAUAGAAAUUUGUGUGGCUGUAAAUCAUUUUCAUUAAGUGUAAAUAGACAUUUUAUAGUUAAAUUGUUACUUAAUAUAUAAAUGUGUCAUUCUUUUUGGGACUAAUGAAAAUCUAAAAAUGAAAGUAAGUCACAUAAAUUGGGAUAGAGAGAGUAUUAUUUAACAAUUACGUAAAAUGUACUAUAACUCACCAUAAUUAAUAACUUAAAAUAUUUAAAAAUUAUACUAAAAUUUAAUUGACUCUCUAAAUUGAGAUAAAAAGUAAUAGAUAUUAAGCAUGUAUCUGGUAUAUUAUUGAAGAUUUAGUCUUGGCAAGCUUGAUUUUAGACGUGUAUAGCAGAAAUUUGAUUUGAGAAAGUAAAAUUUCUAACGCAUAAUUUGAUGAAUGGCUAAACUUACAUAAAUUUAUAAAAAUAAUCCGUGGAUUAAAUAAGGCCCCAAAAUCAGUGAUCUAUGACCAUGCACCCCUUUCGAUCUUCUUCUUCGUUCUUUAGUUAUAUACUUAGGAGAAAAUGGUCAAAUGACCCCUCAACGUAUAUUCGAAUUUUUAACUAUACACUUAAACUUCACGAGAAUUCUAUCACCCCUCUGUACUAUUUAAAAUUGAAAUUAUUACCUCCCUGAAUGUUUAGUUGGCAUAGUGAAUGUAUUUCACUCUCUUUGGGAGAGUGAGUAUCAAAUCUAUUAUUAAAACCUUAAUUUUAAUAUCUCUUUUCAAUAAAUAUAUAUGCAUUUUUAAUUAUUUAUUUUUCUUAUUUGUUUUCUUUCUUCUCCAACAAUAUAAACAAAUCUCUCAAUCUUUCACCAUCUCUAAGUCGUGCUGCCCAUCUUCACCAGAUUCACUAUUAUUGAUUCCAAACAAAUUUUCAAACUCAUAAAACUCUUGCAAAAUCAAUCAACCUAAAUCAAUUGUAGAUAAGUUUACAUAUAUUUAUAUCACCCCAAGAUACUUUAGAUUCGAUUUGAGAAAAAUCAAUAUGGGUUUACUUCAAACCCAAUUGAACCCACCGAAUUUUAUUUUAUUUUUACUAAUAGAUCAUUUAAUUAUCAAUCUCAAAUCUCAAUCAAUCAAUUAUAUCUCAAAAAUUAUCGCUAUUAAUCUCGUUAAUUCAUCAACCGUCGUAGAAUCAAUCUCUUCCUCUUCGAAAUUGUUGUCGCAAUCGAUGAUGACGUGGAAGACAUUGUAGGCUCCUCCUCCUCAUCUUCCUUGAGAGGAUUACUUAUCUUUGGUGACCACCAUUAAUGGCAAUAUUUUGCCAUGUUCGUCUUCUCUCCUGCCUUCACUUUUUUUUAAAUUUGAUUUUUAGGUUUCAAAUGAGCAAAACCAGUAUAUCUCUGGAUAAGCUCUGAAAUCAUUAUUCAACUUUUUUCCUUAAAGACCCAAUUUUAUGGACUUAUGGUGUUCUAGUAAUGUUGAAAAUGGUGGAAGUACUUUAGGUGUUUGAAGGGAUGGGUCAGAAUAUAGAAGAAAAGGGUAAAUAAAUAUAAAAAAUAAAAAAUAUAUAUUUGAUGAGGUGUCAAACAUGCCACCAUAGAUCUGGUUAUAUCCUUUUAAGGGUAUAAUUAAUUCAUCUUUAAACAGUUCAGGGGUGAUAGGACUCCCGUGAAGUUUAACUGUAUAGUUGGAAAUUCGGAUAUAUGUUGAGGGGGCAUUCGGCCAUUUUCUCAAGAAAAAAACAAUAACUUGUGAUUCUAAAUACUCCAAUAAGAUUCCCUGACUAGAAAAAUAUCUCAUUUAAUUUGAUGUACAAUUAAAAAAUCAAAAUUAAAUUUUUUUUAACAUAAUUUUUUUUUUUCAUGUUUUACGGGAAAAAAAAGCAACAUUAUAUCAUAGAAAAUGAAACAAAUGGAAUAGUGCUUAUGAAAACAAAUGGAAUGAGAAAAACAGUAAAGAAAUAAGAUUUAUUUCGAGGAGAAAGAUACGAUGGUGACAUAUAUAAUAAAAAAAAUUAGUGAAUAAUUACAAUACAAUACUCUCAAGUCUUAAGGCCAAACAAAAUCAACACAAAUUUUGGGAAGUUCUUCAAAAUCCUCAGCUAAAUUGAAGUCAGUGUUGAAAUUAGUUGAGGAAUUGUUGAAUACCCUUUGGUUGGAAACUCCUUUGGCAGCCACAACAGCACAAGAAUCAGCAACUGAAGAAGAAGGUGAAGUCAAAUAAUCAGUAUUUUCAUGUCUAAGAAACUCAGCUAACAAAAGAACGAGAGAAGCCAUUUGAUAAAAAAAAAAAUCUAAUGAGAGAGGUUUUCAAGAUUUUUCCUUUGUUUGAUACAAUGAAUUCAAGGCACACAAAUUUUUCCUAAUUUAUAAGCAAUCAAAAGUAGGUGAAUAGUAGUAGUAUUAAAAGCCGGUUUGGCUUAGAUACUAUACUCUGUG
rnacentral:lncRNA from 1 species